CUGGUCGAUCCUGCCAAUAGUCGCAUGCUUGUCUCAAAGAUUAAGCCAUGCAUGACUAUGUAUACACGAAUUAAAAGUGAGACCGCAAAAGGCUCAUUAUAUCAGUUACGGUCCCUUAGAUCGUUAAUCGCUAGUUGGAUAACUGUGGUAACUCUAGAGCUAAUAAUUCAGUUGCGGUUCCUUAGAUCGUUAAUAGCUAGUUGGAUAACUGUGGUAACCCUAGAGCUAAUAAUUCAGUUGCGGUUCCUUAGAUCGUUAAUAGCUAGUUAGACAACUGUGGUAACUCUAGAGCUAACAUAUCAGUUACGGUUCCUUAGAUCGUUAAUAGCUAGUUGGAUAACUGUGGUAACUCUAGAGCUAAUAAUUCAGUUACGGUUCCUUAGAUCGUUAAUAGCUAGUUGGAGAACUGUGGUAACUCUAGAGUUAAUACAUGCAAUGUAAACACGAACCAAUUGAACGUGUGCUAGGCUAAAACCAAUUGACGACCAUUUUGUCGUAUACCGAUUGACCUCCGGAUCACUUACAGAUCGUACGAUCUUUUGUCGAUGACAAAUCUUUCAUAUGUCUACCCUACCACCUUUGGAUGGUGGCAUUUGGGACUACCAUUGUCAGAUUUCGCAGAGAAACGGCUACGACAUCUAAGAAAGGCAGCAGGCGCGUAAAUCACCCACUCCCAGCUCGGUGAGGUAGUGGCGGAAAAUAACAAUGCACGACUCAUAUACGAGGCCCUGUAAUAGCUAUGAAUAUACUUGACAAAGAUCUAUUGUAGGCCAAGUCUGGCGCCAGUCUAACAUUUAACGGAAUUGGCA
rnacentral:ncRNA from 1 species